AGCACUAGUACUAAACCAGAUUUCUGUUAAGAACUCUUCCGACUGCCUGCUCACUCCAUGGCUUGCUGGCAAUGGAUUUUACAUCAGGAAAUUGCAGACGUCCUCACGAAAGAGGCCAACGCUCUAUUUAAAUAGCAGCUAUUCAGGGCUUAAAAUUUUAAAGUAAAACUACUAACGUGACAAAGUUUAAGAAACGUGUGAUCUGUUAAUGUUGUUUCCUGGCCAACGGGACUAAUCCUCACAAGACAAGGAGAUCAGAUGCAGGAAUGCCGGAGCACUGCUUUACUUGGAAUAGGAGGGGGAGAGCAAGAGGCAAAAACGGCCACUGAACUCUGAUUCCUGAGUACAUGGUCUUCAGCACCGAGCCCUACAAAUAUCCUGAAUUUGCUUUCUCAUCUCUGUUUUUAUGAAGACUAUUUCCUGCCAAGUUCUAUUUCAGGGUGCUGAUGUGGUGCUCCUGCUACACCAGGAUGUGCAACAUGUUCACAGUGUCCAACUCAGACACUCAAGCAUGUAAGUACUUCACAAGGAAACUGUUCACUAGGCUACUUAUAACUAAUUUUGUGAUUAAUGAGGGGUCUUUAAUUUCCUUAACAACUACCUAAUUUGUUUGGUAUUUUUACAGCAUCAUAUCGCACUACAACAACGGGUGAUUUUGUUGGUCACCCAGAAGCAUCACAGUGGGUCCCAUGGGGGCCAGAAUGUGGCAGAUGCUUCCUGCCAUGUGAAAGCUCCGCACACAAUUACUUCUUCAAAGAAGUCCUGUGCUCUUAAAUAAAGAAUAAUGGAAUUCUCUACAAAGUUAAUCUGGAUGAGAGAUGCUCAUAAGUAGUCAUAGCAAGAUAUACCCACAUUUUUUAUAAAGAAUCUGCAUACUUGUGGUUUAACCACACAAAUUAUGUCUUGUAACAUCUUAAAUGAGAAUAAUCUAUAAGAAAAGCACCCAGAUAAAAAUUUUAACAUUUAUAAAACAAUCACAAGUCCCAAAUCAAUGAGAAUUCUUCUUCCUCUCCCCUGGUUUCUUUUGGUUGUUUGUUCUCUUGUUUUCAAGGUGCAUUUGGGUUUUUUGUUGGCAUGAAAAGAAACGCGUGGAUGACUAGCAGUCUCUAAAUCCCAGUUUACCACUUGCUGGACUGAAAAUUACCAUGGCCAAGCAGCAGUCUCUUUUAAAUGCAAUCAUAUGGACUCAAGUUGUAAGAAACAUCUCAAAUGAAAUGCUGACGUAUUUUUGCUGAAA